GUCAGGCCCGGCACGAGGAGAUGCGGCUGCUGCGCCUCUACCUCGACCAACAAGGGGGCCUGUGUGCGGAGGCCCUUCACGGGCUUGCAGCGCUGAGGGUGUGUGAGAGCAAACAAGUCACAUUCCACAAGACGGAGAACCUGCAGUCUCUGCCAAGAGCAACUACAACUUUGAGAAGCCCUUCCUUUAAUUUGCAAUGGCCCCAAUAAUGUUCAGAGAUUUUGGAGAAUUUGAGGAUUUCUAGUUUUGGAGGUGCCUCAGGUCAUCUUCCUCAACCUGGCGCACCUUGCACAUGUACAGCAACGGCCACAUCCUCUCCCAGGGAGAAUAUAUUUUUAUGCCUCUGCCCACAUUGGCGCAUUUUAUGAUUUGCUGCAUGAUAUAUGCAACCAUUGGUGUUGAAGUUCACCCAUUGGAUUUCACCAUCAGUUGUGGAAAGAUUUGCUUCGAUUGCUAGGACAUUGCUAUGUUGUGAAAAAGGAGUUCGGUGGCCUUAGGGAUGUACACUAGUUAGUGUUAUGUGUUACGUAUUCUGAAAAGACAGUGAAGUUGCAGCGGGAAAGAUGUUUGAUUCCAUUUGGUUAUUCACUCCGAAAUUCCUAUUUUGAUGGUGAACAAUGUGCGGUAUUGUUUCUGAAUGUUGGAUAUUAGCACCUGCACGUGCAGCUGAUGAAAUGAGAAGCUUAUCAUCUCCACAUGUGUGCCAAGGAGUAGGCUGAAGCUAGAGAUAUGAAUAUGAGGUUGUGUCUUCGUUCCUAUUUAUAUGAUGAUAUGAAUUAGGUGCACAUUGUCGGUACAAAGGUUAAAGUUAUGUGGGGUGGGAUUCAUGUAAACAUGUGUCAAUUACUGCUCAGAUUGUUCCUCGAUGUGCUCCACGUCGAAACCCAGGUGUUUAAAGGGGUCAAAAUCUCGUCUAAUACCUCAGGGAUUUGAUUGGGGCACAAGGUUUGCUGAUAUAGGGAUUCAGAGUAAGACCACUU